AAGUCGUAACAAGGUCUCCGUAGGUGAACCUGCGGAGGGAUCAUUAACACGUUUAACAACGUACCCACCAAAACUAUGGAAACAGCCGCAAGGCAGUUCUCUCCCUCUAACAAUUGCUCGCAAUUGAUAGAGGCUCUAUCCUUACUAUAACCCCUUUCCAACUUCAAUGCAAUCAUGUGCCUGUGUGCAUGCUGGCAUUGGCCUGUCUGACCUGUAUUCUAUGUAGCAACAUCAUAGUUGAUAUUUAAUGCAAAGCACAACUCUUAGCAACGGAUAUCUUGGUUCUC
rnacentral:misc_RNA from 1 species